GUCGUCAGCUCGUGUCGUGAGAUGUUGGGUUAAGUCCGCAACGAGCGCAACCCCUAUUGUUAGUUGCCAUCAUUCAGUUGGGCACUCUAGCGAGACUGCCGGUAAUAAACCGGAGGAAGGUGGGGAUGACGUCAAAUCAUCAUGCCCCUUAUGACCUGGGCUACACACGUGCUACAAUGGUUGGUACAACGAGUUGCGAGUCGGUGACGGCGAGCUAAUCUCUUAAAGCCAAUCUCAGUUCGGAUUGUAGGCUGCAACUCGCCUACAUGAAGUCGGAAUCGCUAGUAAUCGCGGAUCAGCACGCCGCGGUGAAUACGUUCCCGGGCCUU
rnacentral:rRNA from 1 species